rnacentral:rRNA from 1 species
UACGGAAGGCAGCAGGGGGAAGUAAUUGUCACAAUAGGGCGGCAAGACCUCGAUGCAGCCACUGCCGCCGUGUAUGAAGAAAGGCCUUCGGGUUGUAAAGUACUUUCAGUCGUGAGGAAGGUGUUAAGGUUAAUAACCUUAGCAAUUGACGUUAGCGACAGAAGAAGCACCGGCUAACUCCGUGCCAGCAGCCGCGGUAAUACGGAGGGUGCGAGCGUUAAUCGGAAUUACUGGGCGUAAAGGGCACGCAGGCGGUUAAUUAAGUUGGAUGUGAAAUCCCCUGGGCUUAACCUGGGAAUGGCAUUCAAGACUGGUUAGCUAGAGUCUUGUAGAGGGGGUAGAAUUCCAUGUGUAGCGGUGAAAUGCGUAGAGAUGUGGAGGAAUACCGGUGGCGAAGGCGGCCCCUGGGACAAAGACUGACGCUCAGUGUGCGAAAGCGUUGGGGAGCAAACGAGGAUUAGAUA